rnacentral:lncRNA from 1 species
UGUUAUGGUGUAAAGGAAAUGUCCUUAUCUAAGGUAAUCUUGAGGAACACUUAAGUGUGCUUGAAGAGGUUGUAUGGGCGGUCACUUCUUGUCUCACUCAAGUGUGUCUUAAGGUUAUAUUAGGUAGAGGUCCUAUGGUAAUGAAAUGACAUGUGUUCUUUUAAAGUAAAGCAUGGGUUGUAUAUGGACAUAUGUUGAUUAUAUGUAUGGUGGGCUAUGGUCUUAUAUGUUAAUGUUGACUUGUAUUAUGUCUCUUAUACUUGUAAAGGAAAGGUUUUAUCAAAUGAUAUGAAAGCAUUACUUCCUUGAAAAUGUCCUUUUUGGCAUGUUUUUGCAUG